GGGGCUGUAGCUCAGUGGUAGAGCGUCCGCUUUGCAUGCGGAAGGCCCGGGGUUCGAACCCCCGCAGCUCCA
rfam:Trichuris suis scaffold74.10, whole genome shotgun sequence.